CAGUAGCCGCGGUAAAACGGAGGGAGCUAGCGUUGUUCGGAAUUACUGGGCGUAAAGCGCGCGUAGGCGGUUACUCAAGUCAGAGGUGAAAGCCCGGGGCUCAACCCCGGAACUGCCUUUGAAACUAGGUGACUAGAAUCUUGGAGAGGUCAAUGGAAUUCCGAGUGUAGAGGUGAAAUUCGUAGAUAUUCGGAAGAACACCAGUGGCGAAGGCGACUGACUGGACAAGUAUUGACGCUGAGGUGCGAAAGCGUGGGGAGCAAACAGGAUUAGAUACCCGCGUAGUCCCUGUCUCUUAUAC
rnacentral:rRNA from 1 species